rnacentral:rRNA from 1 species
CCUACGGGUGGCAGCAGUGGGGAAUAUUGGGCAAUGGAGGCAACUCUGACCCGGCAACGCCGCGUGAAUGAUGAAGGUCUUCGGAUUGUAAAGUUCUGUGAUGGGGGAUGAACACAAUGACGGUACCCCAAUAGCAAGCCACGGCUAACUACGUGCCAGCAGCCGUGGUAAUACGUAGGUGGCAAGCGUUAUCCGGAAUGACUGGGCGUAAAGGGUGCGUAGGUGGUUUAGUAAGUUGGCGGUGUAAUUCCGGGGCUCAACCUCGGCGCUACCGCGCAAACUAUGAGACUAGAGUGCACGGGAGGUAAGUGGAAUUCCUGGUGUAGCGGUGGAAUGCGUAGAUAUUAGGAGGAACAGCGGGGGCGAAGGCGACUUACUGGACUGUAACUGACGCUGAGGCACGAAGGCGUGGGGAGCAAACAGGAUUAGAUACCCUAGUAGUC